rnacentral:misc_RNA from 1 species
GCGUUGUGGAGAUCUUUGUAACGGGAUAUCACUGUGUGGAGAUAUGCGUGUGCGCGGCGACUGAGAAACAGACGAAUGUAAACAGUUCUAUCGGUUAACAGUCUUCAAAAGGUCGGGUAUGAAUAAAAGUGCUGAGACGCGCGCAAGUGUACAACGAUAAAUAUUCUAGAAAUCGUUUAUAAAGUAAAUAUGUGUCUACGUUAAUAGUAAUGGCCAUCGUAAAUUUAAUGUUUCCGUAACA